rnacentral:rRNA from 1 species
UACGGAGGAUGCGAGCGUUAUCCGGAUUUAUUGGGUUUAAAGGGUGCGUAGGCGGAUUUUUAAGUCAGCGGUAAAAUGUCCGGGCUCAACCCGGGCCGGCCGUUGAAACUGGGGAUCUUGAGUGGGCGAGAAGUAUGCGGAAUGCGUGGUGUAGCGGUGAAAUGCAUAGAUAUCACGCAGAACUCCGAUUGCGAAGGCAGCAUACCGGCGCCCGACCGACGCUGAGGCACGAAAGCGUGGGGAUCGAACAGG